rnacentral:rRNA from 1 species
UACGUAGGGGGCAAGCGUUGUCCGGAAUCAUUGGGCGUAAAGCGCGCGUAGGCGGCCCGAUAAGUCCGCUGUAAAAGUCAACGGCUCAACCGUUGAAAGCCGGUGGAUACUGUCGGGCUAGAGUUCGGAAGAGGCAAGUGGAAUUCCUGGUGUAGCGGUGGAAUGCGCAGAUAUCAGGAGGAACACCAAUAGCGAAGGCAGCUCGCUGGGACGUUACUGACACUGAGGCGCGAAAGCGUGGGGAGCGAACAGG